rnacentral:tRNA from 1 species
UGACCUAUGGUGUAAUCGGCAACACACCAGAUUUUGGUUCUGGAGUUCAAGGUUCGAGUCCUUGUAGGUCAA